rnacentral:rRNA from 1 species
GACGAAGGGGGCUAGCGUUGUUCGGAAUUGCUGGGCGUAAAGCGAGUGUAGGUGGUUGUCCAAGUUGGAUGUGAAAGCCUUGAGCUCAACUCAAGAAAUGCAUUCAGGACUGGGCGGCUAGAGGACCGGAGAGGAUAGUGGAAUUCCCAGUGUAGUGGUGAAAUACGUAGAGAUUGGGAAGAACACCAGUGGCGAAGGCGGCUAUCUGGACGGUUUCUGACACUAAGACUCGAAAGCGUGGGGAGCAAACAGG